rnacentral:rRNA from 1 species
CUGAUUGCCGUACGAUCACCGAAGUUAAGCAAUGUCGAUCCUGGUCAGUACCUUGACGGGUGAUCGCUUGGGAAUACCAGAUGCUGUAAG